GCUUUUAUGUUUAGUUUUGCCUUCUUACCAAGCUCUUGUUAGCUUCAAGCGCUGAUGCAUUUUUGCCCAUAUUAUGUCAUCAAAUGAAACCUAAUUUUAAAGAGAAUGCGGAUAGACUCUUGUAAUACCUGGAGUAGCCAUGGUUGCGGCUAUUAUAAUUUAGUUUAGGAAAUAAUUUGUACCCAAUUUGACUCUUCAAUGCUACUAUAUAAUAUUUAAUUUCAGGCUACUGGUACUAAAGCCGGAGGAAACAUCAAGACCUAACUGAGUGGGGAACCAGAGGAGAGAGAGCCAGGAUCGGCCACUGCUGUGUUACUAGAGGCUCCGGGGAGGGAAGAAAGGGCCUCAUAUGGAGGCUGGUUGGCCUCCAGUGAUUUGUUCUACAUACUCUCAGAGACCUGGAGGUUUCUGUGGGGCAGCCCAGUGCUCUGUUCCUGCAUAGUCCCGCUAGCUACAGCGCACCGUCUGCCAGUUCAUCGGGGUAUGAGGAAUGGAGGUGUCCAGCCCGGGCUACCCCCCACGGACCCCUGCCACAGACCCACCUCCGUGGAUCCCCCCCCACAGACCCCCUGCCACAG
rnacentral:lncRNA from 1 species